rnacentral:rRNA from 1 species
AUAGCGUAUAUUAAAGUUGUUGCAGUUAAAAAGCUCGUAGUUGAAUUUCGGGCCUGGCCGGGUGGUCCACUUGCCAGUGGCUACUGCCUGGCCGAUCAAUUUAAUGAGCCGUCCUAUGGUGCUCUUCACCGAGUGUCAUAGGCGAUCAUUACGUUUACUUUGAAAAAAUUAGAGUGCUCAAAGCAGGCCUUAGUGCCCGAAUAAUGUUGCAUGGAAUAAUGGAAUAGGAUCUCGGUUCUAUUCUGUUGGUCUUCGGAGUCUGAGAUAAUGAUUAAGAGGGACAGACGGGGGCAUUCGUAUUGCAGCGCUAGAGGUGAAAUUCUUGGACCGUUGCAAGACGAA